ensembl:lncRNA
GUAAUUAAGGCAGAAGUAAACAGUAAGAGAAUAUCAAAUUGCAGCUUGCUUCAGUAAUAGGUGCCCAGGUGGAGCUGCAGCUUGUGCAGACCUGUGCCUUGAGACAGAAGGGCAGCCUCUCUGGGGAGCACUCUAACAGGUCCCCAGAUCUGACACAUCAAGAUUAAGUCCUGAAGAUUUGGAGCUGAGUGACAAGAAAGGUGUGAGCUGCCGUCACAGCAUGGCCACUGACAGACAAGUGGUGUGCUUCUGCACCUGGGAACCAAACACUGGGCUGCUGAAGUGGAGCACAUUGAACUUUAACCACUGGGCCAUUGGGGCUGGCCCCAUAUCAUCCUUUUUAAGAAUGAUUUUGAUUAUGAUUGUAAGCUGGACCAACAUCUGUCUUAAUUAAAGAAAGCUGUAAUUAUAAAAUAAUGAGUUUCAUUUUAUCUGUCAUUCUGUUAUUUGCUGCUCAUGAACUAGCUCUAGGGACAAUUUCAAAGAGGAGGUUUUUGUUGGAAUAAGUAUCUUCCUAGGUAUUAUUAUUAUUAUUAUUAUUAUUAUUAUUAUUAUAUUUUUUGGUGAGGAAGAUUGUUGCUGAGCUAACAUCUAUGCCAGUCUUCCUCUAUUUUGUAUGUGGGACACUGCCACAGCAUGGCUUGAUGAGUGGUAUGUAGGUCCGCACCCAGGAUCCAAACCCACAGACCUCUGGCUGCCAAAGUGGAGCAUGUGAACUCAACCACUAUGCCACCAGGCUGGCCCUCCCUAGGUAUUAUUCCAAAGGAAUCAAUAUUUAUAAUGGGCACUCCCUCUCGCCCUCUCACUUGCUCACUCUGAUGAAGCGAGCUGAGCUGCCCUCUUCUGAGCUGCCCUUCUAAGAGGCCCAUGUGGCAAAGACUGAGGGCCACCUCACUGAGAGACCAAAGCCCUCAGUCCAACAGCCCUUGAGGAACUGAAUCUUGCCAAUUCGGUAACUUGACUGAGUUUGGAAGUGGAUCCUUCCCCCGUUUAUCCAAGAGAUGGCUGCAGUCUCCGCUGACACCUUGAUUGCAGCCUUGUGAGAGACCCAAAGCUGGAGGACCCAGCUAAGCCACCGCCAGAUUCCUGACCUACCGGAACUGGAAUAAUUACACAACAACAGAUAAUUAAGACAAAUGAUAAUGUUCAUAACUAGCAUUCUUGAGUGUUAGCUGUAUGUCAGGCACUGUGCUAAGUGAUUUACGUGUGAUUUCUCUUUUCAUCUUCACAGCAGUCCCAUGAAGAAGAUAGUAGUAAUCUCAUUUUAUAGAUGGGGAAACUGAGGCUUAGAGGAAUUCGCCAAAGUUACAGAGCUAGUGAGUAAACUCAGAGUGUAAACCUGUGUAGUCUUGCUCUAGAGCCUGGGUGCUUAAACAGGGUGUUCUGUUUGCUCUGCUACAUCAACUAAUCCCUCUCAUCCUGAAUACACUUUUUGCUGAACUGGCUGGUUUUUUAAAUGGAACUACAUUGCUGUUUUUGAAUAAAGUAAUCCCAGGCCUGGGCCCUUGGUCACCUCAGAGAUGGGCAGGCAAAAGCCAGAGACGGGACCAGCAGCCUUGUGUGAAAAACAUAUUCCGAGCACUUGUGUUCUUUGAUUUGGAGCUGACAUUUGUCCUAGCCGUAGUAACGGAGGAGAGGGAAGGAUGAGAGUGGGGAAGGGUGAUUCAUUAUUUCAGCUCUUGUGUCAGCAUAUCAGACUGUGAGGAUGAAAACAAAUCAAGAGAGAAUGUUGUUGGGAUGGUUCGGAUAUGUUUCAGUUGGGACCUACCAAGAAAAAAGGAAAUAAUACGUAAAGUGUUGUGAUGUAAAACAAUUAUUGUGAGAAUAGUUAUAUUGCUUUUAAAAAAAAACUAUUUUGGAAAUAGCUUUUAUCUCUUUUAAUGUAACAGUAGUUAUUAUUACAUGCUUGAUAUAAUAAAAACAUGAAUAGAACAACUGAGAAAAUUAUAGAGAGUGGAUAUCACCCCCAGUCCCACCCAAUAGCAUUAAACAGAUGGAUAGUUUUUACUGUUUCAUAAUAUGUUUGCCUCUUAUUACGGCUAUCUUUUCAUGUCAAUAACUAGGUCGACAUCAUUGUUUGCAGUGUUCUGCUGUUAAGUAUGUUAAAUCAUUUAUCCAAAAUAAUUUCCUGGAUAUUUAAGUUGCUUCCAGUUUUCUGUAAUAAACAACUCCAUGAAAGGUCAC